rnacentral:rRNA from 1 species
GACGAACGCUGGCGGCGUGCUUAACACAUGCAAGUCGAACGGAAAGGCCCUGCUUUUGUGGGGUGCUCGAGUGGCGAACGGGUGAGUAACACGUGAGUAACCUGCCCUUGACUUUGGGAUAACUUCAGGAAACUGGGGCUAAUACCGGAUAGGAGCUCCUGCUGCAUGGUGGGGGUUGGAAAGUUUCGGCGGUUGGGGAUGGACUCGCGGCUUAUCAGCUUGUUGGUGGGGUAGUGGCUUACCAAGGCUUUGACGGGUAGCCGGCCUGAGAGGGUGACCGGCCACAUUAGGACUGAGAUACGGCACGGACUCCUACGGGAGGCAGCAGUGGGGAAUAUUGCACAAUGGGCGGAAGCCUGAUGCAGCAACGCAGCGUGCGGGAUGACAGCCUUCGGUUUGUAAACCGCUUUUGCCUGUGACGAAGCGUGAGUGACGGUAAUGGGUAAAGAAGCUCCGGCUAACUACGUG